GUGGCCUGACCCACGAGAUGGUUAGCUAACCAAACAGUCAAAUAAGAAGAAGCCCACCCACGAGAUUGGACCGGGCUUCAUUUUCGCGUGAAGUUGCGGAGUCAUUCUCAUGAAUCCGGUCACCAUAGAUAACUAGAAGGUCAGCUGAUGAAACGGCCCAAGAAGAAGAAGCUCACAUACGAGAUUGGACCGGGCUCUAAUUUGCACGUGUAGUUGGGAGCCACUUUCAUGAAUCCGGUCACCGCAGAUACUAGAAGGUCAGCUGAUGAAACGGCCCAAGAACAAGAAGCCCACCCACGAGAUUGGACCGGGCUUAAUUUGCUCAUGUAGUUGCGGAGGCACUUUCAUGAAUCCGGUCACCGCAUGUA